rnacentral:misc_RNA from 1 species
GAUGAAGUACGUAGCGAAAUGCGAUAAGUAGUGUGAAUUGCAGAAUUCAGUGAAUCAUCGAAUCUUUGAACGCACAUUGCGCCCCUUGGUAUUCCAUGGGGCAUGCCUGUUCGAGCGUCAUUUGUACCUUCAAGCUCUGCUUGGUGUUGGGUGUUUGUCUCGCCUCUGCGUGUAGACUCGCCUCAAAACAAUUGGCAGCCGGCGUAUUGAUUUCGGAGCGCAGUACAUCUCGCGCUUUGCACUCAUAACGACGACGUCCAAAAGUACAUUUUUACACUCUUGACCUCGGAUCAGGUAGGGAUACCCGCUGAACUUAAGCAUAUCAAUAAGCGGAGGA